UACGUAGGGCGCAAGCGUUAUCCGGAAUUACUGGGCGUAAAGCGUGCGCAGGCGGCUUUGCAAGACAGAUGUGAAAUCCCCGGGCUUAACCCGUGGGAACUGCAUUUGUGACUGCAUGGCUGGAGUGCGGCAGAGGGGGAUGGAAUUCCGCGUGUAGCAGUGAAAUGCGUAGAUAUGCGGAGGAACACCGAUGGCGAAGGCAAUCCCCUGGGCCUGCACUGACGCUCAUACACGAAAGCGUGGGGAGCAAACAGG
rnacentral:rRNA from 1 species